AUACGUAGGUGGCAAGCGUUGUCCGGAUUUACUGGGUGUAAAGGGAGCGCAGGCGGGAAGGCAAGUCAGCUGUGAAAUACAUGGGCUUAACCCAUGGACUGCAGUUGAAACUGCCAUUCUUGAGUGAAGUAGAGGUAGGCGGAAUUCCGAGUGUAGCGGUGAAAUGCGUAGAUAUUCGGAGGAACACCAGUGGCGAAGGCGGCCUACUGGGCUUUAACUGACGCUGAGGCUCGAAAGUGUGGGGAGC
rnacentral:rRNA from 1 species